UACGUAGGUGGCAAGCGUUGUCCGGAUUUACUGGGCGUAAAGGAUGCGUAGGCGGACAUUUAAGUCAGAUGCGAAAUACCCGAGCUUAACUUGGGUGCUGCAUUUGAAACUGGGUGUCUAGAGUGCAGGAGAGGUAAGUGGAAUUCCUAGUGUAGCGGUGAAAUGCGUAGAGAUUAGGAAGAACACCAGUGGCGAAGGCGACUUACUGGACUGUAACUGACGCUGAGGCAUGAAAGCGUGGGGAGCAAACAGG
rnacentral:rRNA from 1 species